CUGAUGGAGCAACGCCGCGUGAGUGAAGAAGGGUUUCGGCUCGUAAAACUCUGUUGUUAAAGAAGAACAUAUCUGAGAGUAACUGUUCAGGUAUUGACGGUAUUUAACCAGAAAGCCACGGCUAACUACGUGCCAGCAGCCGCGGUAAUACGUAGGUGGCAAGCGUUGUCCGGAUUUAUUGGGCGUAAAGCGAGCGCAGGCGGUUUUUUAAGUCUGAUGUGAAAGCCUUCGGCUCAACCGAAGAAGUGCAUCGGAAACUGGGAAACUUGAGUGCAGAAGAGGACAGUGGAACUCCAUGUGUAGCGGUGAAAUGCGUAGAUAUAUGGAAGAACACCAGUGGCGAAGGCGGCUGUCUGGUCUGUAACUGACGCUGAGGCUCGAAAGUAUGGGUAGCAAACAGGAUUAGAUACCCUGGUAGUCCAUACCGUAAACGAUGAAUGCUAAGUGUUGGAGGGUUUCCGCCCUUCAGUGCUGCAGCUAACGCAUUAAGCAUUCCGCCUGGGGAGUACGGCCGCAAGGCUGAAACUCAAAGGAAUUGACGGGGGCCCGCACAAGCGGUGGAGCAUGUGGUUUAAUUCGAAGCUACGCGAAGAACCUUACCAGGUCUUGACAUACUAUGCAAAUCUAAGAGAUUAGACGUUCCCUUCGGGGACAUGGAUACAGGUGGUGCAUGGUUGUCGUCAGCUCGUGUCGUGAGAUGUUGGGUUAAGUCCCGCAACGAGCGCAACCCUUAUUAUCAGUUGCCAGCAUUAAGUUGGGCACUCUGGUGAGACUGCCGGUGACAAACCGGAGGAAGGUGGGGAUGACGUCAAAUCAUCAUGCCCCUUAUGACCUGGGCUACACACGU
rnacentral:rRNA from 2 species